GUCUCGCCAACCCGGUCAGGUCCGGAAGGAAGCAGCCGUAACGAGUUUCCGCGCGGGUCGCUGUCCAGCCUCUCACCU
rnacentral:SRP_RNA from 1 species